rnacentral:rRNA from 1 species
GUCGAGGGGUAACAGGAGUAGCUUGCUAUUUGCUGACGACCGGCGCACGGGUGCGUAACGCGUAUAGAAUCUACCUUAUACUGGGGGAUAGCCUUUGGAAACGAAGAUUAAUACCCCAUAGUAUUAUUUUUUGGCAUCAUUAAAUAAUUAAAGUUUCGGCGGUAUAAGAUGACUAUGCGUUCUAUUAGUUAGUUGGUAAGGUAACGGCUUACCAAGACUUCGAUAGAUAGGGGUCCUGAGAGGGAGAUCCCCCACACUGGUACUGAGACACGGACCAGACUCCUACGGGAGGCAGCAGUGAGGAAUAUUGGACAAUGGAGGCAACUCUGAUCCAGCCAUGCCGCGUGUAGGAAGACUGCCCUAUGGGUUGUAAACUACUUUUAUAUGGGAAGAAUAAGAUCUACGUGUAGAUNGAUGACGGUACCAUAAGAAUAAGCACCGGCUAACUCCGUGCCAGCAGCCGCGGUAAUACGGAGGGUGCAAGCGUUAUCCGGAAUCAUUGGGUUUAAAGGGUCCGUAGGCGGGCAUAUAAGUCAGUGGUGAAAGUCUGUGGCUNAACCAUAGAAUUGCCAUUGAUACUGUAUGUCUUGAAUUAUUGUGAAGUGGUUAGAAUAUGUAGUGUAGCGGUGAAAUGCUUAGAGAUUACAUAGAAUACCGAUUGCGAAGGCAGAUCACUAACAAUAUAUUGACGCUGAUGGACGAAAGCGUAGGUAGCGAACAGGAUUAGAUACCCUGGUAGUCUACGCCGUAAACGAUGGAUACUAGUUGUUUGGUUUUCGGACUGAGUGACUAAGCGAAAGUGAUAAGUAUCCCACCUGGGGAGUACGUUCGCAAGAAUGAAACUCAAAGGAAUUGACGGGGGCCCGCACNAGCGGUGGAGCAUGUGGUUUAAUUCGAUGAUACGCGAGGAACCUUACCAGGGCUUAAAUGUAGUCUGACAGCUUUAGAGAUAGAGUUUUCUUCGGACAGAUUACAAGGUGCUGCAUGGUUGUCGUCAGCUCGUGCCGUGAGGUGUCAGGUUAAGUCCUAUAACGAGCGCAACCCCUGUGGUUAGUUGCCAGCGAGUAAUGUCGGGAACUCUAGCCAGACUGCCGGUGCAAACCGUGAGGAAGGUGGGGAUGACGUCAAAUCAUCACGGCCCUUACGUCCUGGGCCACACACGUGCUACAAUGGUAGGGACAGAGAGCAGCCACUUAGCGAUAAGGAGCGAAUCUAUAAACCCUAUCUCAGUUCGGAUUGGAGUCUGCAACUCGACUCCAUGAAGCUGGAAUCGCUAGUAAUCGGAUAUCAGCCAUGAUCCGGUGAAUACGUUCCCGGGCCUUGUACACACCGCCCGUCAAGCCAUGGAAGCUGGGGGUACCUGA